rnacentral:snoRNA from 1 species
UGAUGAUUGAAAUGUGAUGAGUACACAAAAUGUUGAUGAAAGUGAAAAACAUUAAGAUCCAACUCUGAUUUCAUUAAGGA